rnacentral:rRNA from 1 species
GUAACAUUUCUAGCUUGCUAGAAGAUGACGAGUGGCGGACGGGUGAGUAAUACUUAGGAAUAUGCCUUUGUGUGGGGGAUAACCAUUGGAAACGAUGGCUAAUACCGCAUAACGUCUUCGGACCAAAGGGGGCUUCGGCUCCCGCGCAAAGAGUAGCCUAAGCGAGAUUAGCUUGUUGGUGAGGUAAAGGCUCACCAAGGCGACGAUCUCUAGCUGUUCUGAGAGGAAGAUCAGCCACACUGGAACUGAGACACGGUCCAGACUCCUACGGGAGGCAGCAGUGGGGAAUAUUGCACAAUGGGGGAAACCCUGAUGCAGCCAUGCCGCGUGUGUGAAGAAGGCCUUCGGGUUGUAAAGCACUUUCAGUUGUGAGGAAAGGUUGAUGGUUAAUACCCAUCAGCUGUGACGUUAGCAACAGAAGAAGGACCGGCUAACUCCGUGCCAGCAGCCGCGGUAAUACGGAGGGUCCGAGCGUUAAUCGGAAUUACUGGGCGUAAAGCGCACGCAGGCGGUUUGUUAAGCUAGAUGUGAAAGCCCUGGGCUCAACCUGGGAAUUGCAUUUAGAACUGGCAGGCUAGAGUUUUGGAGAGGGGAGUGGAAUUCCAGGUGUAGCG